rnacentral:rRNA from 1 species
UUAGCAACCUGUCCCGAAGACCGGGAUAACACCGGGAAACCGGUGCUAAUACCGGAUGUCCCCCACCGAUUCACAUGGCUCGGUGAGGAAAUGGAUUCUGCUUCGGGAGGGGCUCGCGGGCUAUCAGCUUGUUGGUGGGGUAACGCCCACCAAGGCUACGACGGCUAGCUGGUCUGAGAGGACGACCAGCCACACUGGGACUGAGACACGGCCCAGACCUCCGUACGGGAGCAG